GACCGUCAGAUUUCAUUCUUAAAUUUCGGAGAAUGAAAACUUGCCUAGCCCCAAAUCCGAGGCUAUCGUCUGUCAUUCUUCCUGAUUUCAGCCACUCUCUUCGUCCUCACGCGCUAGCCUCCUCAGAUGCCCAUCGCCGCCGCCGCCAAAUCUCCCAUCCACCACCGCCCCCGCCGCCAAAUCUCCACCACCACCGCCGCUAAAUCUCCCAUUCACCGUCGCCGCUACCAUGAAUCCCGCCUUCUCAGUCGCCGUCGGCGCAUCCCCCCGCGGGUGAUAGCGCCUUCCUCGAUGCCUCUUCCCUCGUCCUCUACUAAGGAUUUCGCGACGCCUCUUCCCUCGUUCGAGGUCGUGCCGCCUCCGGUGACCGCAACAUCGUCGUCCAGAUCUUAGCUCUGCAGCAUGCCGCCCUCCAGCCACCGGAUCCGGACAGCAGAUCGACUUCUUGACGACUCCUCGCUAGCCCACGGAAAAUAAAGAAACCUCUUGCUACAGGCACAAGGUUAUCAAAUAGUGGGUGAAGUGUAAUGUUGGACGAACAGAAUGAAGAAAAGAAGAUCCUCAUGCAAUGAAAAUCUUUCUUGGGUGGUCUAAUAAUGUGAAGAUUCAGUUUUUAUGUAACCUUGGCUAGAUUGUGAUAAUUUGAUGUUGUUGUGAACCUUUGUCGUAUUACAAAGAUUGAACUUUUUACAAAGUCUCAUGUUGAAGUUCUAUGUAUUGGCAUGGUUCAGUUUAAUGCAAAACAUUGCUAUGUGUGAACAAAUAAGCUGUCAAUGUUGGUGUUGGUACAGAUUUAUUCAUCCUA